rnacentral:rRNA from 1 species
UACAGAGGGUGCAAGCGUUGUUCGGAUUCAUUGGGCGUAAAGGGUGCGUAGGCGGCGUGGUAAGUCGGAUGUGAAAUCUCGGAGCUUAACUCCGAAACUGCAUUCGAUACUGCCGUGCUUGAGGACUGGAGAGGAGACUGGAAUUUACGGUGUAGCGGUGAAAUGCGUAGAUAUCGUAAGGAAGACCAGUGGCGAAGGCGGGUCUCUGGACAGUUCCUGACGCUGAGGCACGAAGGCCAGGGGAGCAAACGGG